rnacentral:rRNA from 1 species
UACGGGGGGGGCAAGCGUUGUUCGGAAUUACUGGGCGUAAAGGGCUCGUAGGCGGCCAACUAAGUCAGACGUGAAAUCCCUCGGCUUAACCGGGGAACUGCCUUUGAUACUGAAGAUCUUGAGUUCGGGAGAGGUGAGUGGAACUGCGAGUGUAGAGGUGAAAUUCGUAGAUAUUCGCAAGAACACCAGUGGCGAAGGCGGCUCACUGGCCCGAUACUGACGCUGAGGCACGAAAGCGUGGGGAGCAAACAGG